rnacentral:rRNA from 1 species
UACGUAGGGUGCGAGCGUUGUCCGGAAUUAUUGGGCGUAAAGAGCUUGUAGGCGGUUUGUCGCGUCUGCUGUGAAAAUCCGGGGCUCAACCCCGGACUUGCAGUGGGUACGGGCAGACUAGAGUGUGGUAGGGGAGACUGGAAUUCCCGGUGUAGCGGUGAAAUGCGCAGAUAUCGGGAGGAACACCGGUGGCGAAGGCAGAUCUCUGGGCCGUAACUGACGCUGAGGAGCGAAAGCAUGGGGAGCGAACAGG